CCACAUGCACUCCCACAUUGGCUCAAACAGAAGGGGGUGGGGUGAAGAGCGGCAGAGAAAAAGGAUUGGAUAUGCUAAUAAGUCAGAUAGAGAGCCUGUCUGUUUAGGAUUUAGGGAGAGAGGGAAAAUAAACAGUUGUGAAGACACAGAGCUAAUGUACAGCAUUUCCCUCAAUCCCUGGCUAUACCCCGCCUACUCAUUCAAUAGUCCAUUGCACUGUCCAACCCUGGUUUCUCGGUCCCCUGGUCUAUACAUUUUAAAAGUUGACAGUUCUGGAUUGCUCUGUUCUGCAACAAUAUGAUCCUGCUGUCGCUACAUCUACAUGAGAAAGCAAUGCUGGGCAAUAAAUAGUAUCGUUUUACUAAAUCCUGACAGGAGUGGGGGUUGUCACUGCCGGGAGCUUGGGGAGUGCAGGUAAGUCCCUCCCACGAGGAGCCAAUGGGAAUGUGGGAGGAAGCGAGUGACACAGGGAUGAAGGGGAAGAAGAAGAAGAAGGA